rnacentral:rRNA from 1 species
UGGACGCAGCCUGAUCAGCCAUGCCGCGUGAGUGAUGAAGGCCUUAGGGUUGUAAAGCUCUUUUACCCGGGAAGAAAAUGACGGUACCCGUAGAAUAAGCCCCGGCUAACUCCAUGCCAGCACCCGCGGUAAUGUGCCAGCAGCCGCGGUAAUA